CUUCUUAGAGGGACUAUCGGUGUUUAMCCGAUGGAAGUUUGAGGCAAUAACAGGUCUGUGAUGCCCUUAGAUGUUCUGGGCCCGCACGCGGCGCUACACUGAUGAAGUCAACGAGUUCACAUCCUUUAUCGGAAGAUAUGGGUAAUCUUUUGAAACUUUCAUCGUGCUGGGGAUAGAGCAUUGCAAUUAUUGCUCUUCAACGAGGAAUCCCUAGUAAGCACAAGUCAUCAGCUUGUGCUGAUUACGUCCCUGCCCUUUGUACACACCGCCCGUCGCUACUACCGAUUGAAUGGCUUAGUGAGGC
rnacentral:rRNA from 1 species